UACGUAGGGUGCAAGCGUUAAUCGGAAUUACUGGGCGUAAAGCGUGCGCAGGCGGUUUUGUAAGUCUGUCGUGAAAUCCCCGGGCUCAACCUGGGAAUUGCGAUGGAGACUGCAAGGCUAGAAUCUGGCAGAGGGGGGUAGAAUUCCACGUGUAGCAGUGAAAUGCGUAGAUAUGUGGAGGAACACCGAUGGCGAAGGCAGCCCCCUGGGUCAAAACUGACGCUCAUGCACGAA
rnacentral:rRNA from 1 species